UACGGAGGGUGCAAACGUUGCUCGGAAUCAUUGGGCGUAAAGCGCACGUAGGCGGCCUGUUAAGUCGGAUGUGAAAGCCCCGGGCUCAACCCGGGAAGUGCAUACGAAACUGGCGGGCUUGAAUAUGGAAGAGGGUCGCGGAAUUCCUGGUGUAGCGGUGAAAUGCGCAGAUAUCAGGAAGAACACCCGUGGCGAAGGCGGCUCUCUGGGACGGUACUGACGCUGAGACGCGAAAGCGUGGGGAGCGAACAGG
rnacentral:rRNA from 1 species